UCUCGGCUUAUCACCGGCAGUCCCCCUAGAGUGCCCAACUGAAUGAUGGCAACUAAGGGCGAGGGUUGCGCUCGUUGCGGGACUUAACCCAACAUCUCACGACACGAGCUGACGACAGCCAUGCACCACCUGUGCAAGACCCUUGCGGACACCGUGUCUCCACGGCUUUUCCCUACAUGUCAAGCCCUGGUAAGGUUCUUCGCGUCGCGUCGAAUUAAGCAACAUGCUCCGCCGCUUGUGCGGGCCCCCGUCAAUUCCUUUGAGUUUCAGCCUUGCGGCCGUACUCCCCAGGCGGGGCACUUCAUGCGUUAGCGCCGGCACCCAGGGGGUCGCUCCCCCAAGCACCUAGUGCCCAUCGUUUACGGCGUGGACUAC
rnacentral:misc_RNA from 1 species